rnacentral:lncRNA from 1 species
GAUUUGCUGUUUAAGAAAGAAGUGAAGAGGAUCCUUUUAUUUUCCCAAACGGGGCCUCAUGGAAGUUCCACGUUGCUCCUCCCUGGCCUUCCAUCUCCACUGCACAGUGAGCAGAGCUAGGCUUGUCUGCGGCAGCUCCGCCACGCCCUGUCACCUGCAGUCACUAGUAGUAGGGCCCUAGCUUUUCAUAUCCUAAGUAACUUGGCCACUCUGGAAACAGACCAUAGGAACACCGAGGGCUUCCGAACUGGUCAAAGGAUAUUCCCAAAUCCGGUCCACUGUGGGGCUUGGUCAUUCCCUGGGUAGAUUUUAACUCAGCCCGGAUGAUCCUAUAGUUCUUGCCUCUGUUGCUGUCCCAGUACGUCUGUCCAUUGCACUCGUAGUACACAGCAAACUCCAUUCUUUCAUAAGACUGAAUCUUCUCGGGCAAGCUGAUGUCGAAGGAGAACGUGUCCCUGUCUGAACCGGCAUAAGUGUCCUUCACGUACUGACAAGGAAAGUCUGUGUAGCUCUUCCAGGUGUCGAACGUCAUCCUUAUUUUCACGGUCUUCUCAAAUGCGAGGUUCUGAACCUUCACAGUGCCUGCAAUGGCCUUGUCCUUGAGCACACAGUUCUCAAGGCAGACGUGGUCGGCCUGAAGUCGAUUUCUAAAGUCUAAGUAAUCUGCAGAGGGCUGGGAAAAAUCCAGAACAAAGCUCUCGCUCUCUGCUGUCGUCAAGCUCACAAUGUUGUCUAGGAGCUCGGUGAUGUUGAAUGGGAUAUCUAGCGGGUCAUCGAAUUCCGAGAACACUUUGACCAUUGUCAGGGCCAGCCCCUGGUUGUCUGCGAAGGACACCCGCUUUUUCACCUUCUUCUCCUGGACAGCCGGCGCCACCAUUCCACUGGCUUCAUUCUUGCUGCUCAGCUGAAUACAAGGCCUCAGUGGUUUGCUGGGCUUUGGUGAGAUCUUAAAGGCAAACCUCUCUCGGCGCAAGGAAGGAGCCAUGCAGUUGUAUCUGUACUCGAUGUCCACAGCCAUCAUGGGGCUAGAUGAACAGGCUAGAACCCUGGAAAGGGAAGAGAAGAAAGAAAACAGUGGAGCAAUCAGAUCAGACAGAUGUGUAAAGGCAUCAUUCCAGCAGGGACUGGCAAACAAUAUUUCCUUUUAUCUAUGCCCACAUGGCUACAGGUCCACGUAUGCUCAGAUUCUCUUCUGCCUCUGCCGCCCCUGAGACAGCAAGACCAACCCCUUCUCCUCCUCUUCCUCCUCCUCAGCCUACUCAACGUGAAGAGGAUGAGAAUGACGACCUUUAUGAUGACCCACAUCCACUUAAUGAACAGUAAAUAUAUUUUCUCUUUC